GAUUUGUCCCCUGACACAGAACCUUCAGAGUCUUGGUUACCUGAUCCAGCUUCUGUGACCAAAAAUGGCAGCCGUACUGUGACAGUCUUACUGGGUAAGUUCCACUCUUUCUGUUCCUCUCAAUGCUAUUUGUCUGGGGCAAGACCAGACUUGUUUGGGUGGGUGCUUAGUGUGUAAGCAUUGAAAGCUGAGCUUUCCACCUGAGCUGGAGCAUUCAUGCAGCCUGUGGGGAGGCCAGUCCUACGGUUUCUUGAGAGUAGCAGCGGCUACUUCUGGCAGUGGCUUCUCUGAGUGGAGGGCAGGAAUGACCAAACAAGUCUCUCAUUCCCACAUCUCUAGUCUUCACAGAUCCUUCAUGGCACCUGAGCUGGGGUGUGGGAUAACCUCUGUUCCCCUGCUGUGGUAUUUGUAAAAAUAGGAUGCCAAGUGUCAUGGUAUGGACCUGUG
rnacentral:lncRNA from 1 species